UACGUAGGGUGCGAGCGUUAAUCGGAAUUACUGGGCGUAAAGCGUGCGCAGGCGGUUUUGUAAGCCAGAUGUGGAAUCCCCGGGCUUAACCUGGGAAUGGCAUUUGGGACUGCAAGGCUAGAGUGUGGCAGAGGAGACUGGAAUUCCUGGUGUAGCAGUGAAAUGCGUAGAUAUCAGGAGGAAUACCGAUGGCGAAGGCAGGUCUCUGGGCUAACACUGACGCUCAUGCACGAAAGCGUGGGGAGCAAACAGG
rnacentral:rRNA from 1 species